UGGGAUGUAACUAAGUAGUAAAGUGCUUGCCUAGCAUGCCUGUGGCCCUGGGUUCUAUCCCCAACACCCCAA
rnacentral:tRNA from 1 species